UAGGGAAUCUUCCACAAUGGACGCAAGUCUGAUGGAGCAACGCCGCGUGAGUGAAGAAGGUUUUCGGACCGUAAAGCUCUGUUGUUGGUGAAGAAGGAUAGAGGUAGUAACUGGCCUUUAUUUGACGGUAAUCAACCAGAAAGUCACGGCUAACUACGUGCCAGCAGCCGCGGUAAUACGUAGGUGGCAAGCGUUGUCCGGAUUUAUUGGGCGUAAAGCGAGCGCAGGCGGAAGAAUAAGUCUGAUGUGAAAGCCCCCGGCUUAACCGAGGAAUUGCAUCGGAAACUGUUUUUCUUGAGUGCAGAAGAGGAGAGUAGAACUCCAUGUGUAGCGGUGGAAUGCGUAGAUAUAUGGAAGAAUACCAGUGGCGAAGGCGGCUCUCUGGUCUGCAACUGACGCUGAGGCUCGAAAGCAUGGGUAGCGAACAGGAUUAGAUACCCUGGUAGUCCAUGCCGUAAACGAUGAGUGCUAAGUGUUGGGAGGCUUCCGCCUCUCAGUGCUGCAGCUAACGCAUUAAGCACUCCGCCUGGGGGAGUACGACCGCAAGGUUGAA
rnacentral:rRNA from 1 species